AACAAAGAUUUAGGUAGGUACCUAGACAACUAAAGAUAUUUGUUACGAACAUUUCGAGUCCUAAUAUCAGUAAUUUAUUAGCCGUCUGUGAUAGAAAUUAAUUCAAGAACUAGGCAGAAAACAGUGACUGUUAUUUACUGAAUUCCCCGAUAUUACAAUGGAAAACAAAAAACAAUUGGAAGAACUUCUUGAAAGCGACGACGAAUUGCCUGAUGCCUAUGAAGACAUUCCUGAAGUACCAGCAUAUCAAAAUGAUAACAGAUUUGAUGCUAUAGAGUUCCCAUGGAUAGAAAAUAAAAUCUUUUCCAUGCAAAAUGUCUCAGCCCCUAAAAUUUCUAUACAAAAUUCCAGUAAACAUGAACAAAAUAAAAAACCAAAUAAUGAUAUAAUUAUCAUAAAGGGCUUCCUACCUAAACAGGAUGUAUAUUGCUUGAAAUGCAUUGCAGAUAAUUCUUCAGAUGAUAUAUUUGUAUGGUUUUUAAAUUUCCUUAUACAUAAAGAUAUGCAAGCUGAUUACCCAUUUCUUAAAAGUUGUCUAAUUCCAGACGCGAUUCGCCAGGAAUCUUACAAGAGUUAUAAAAUACAUCCUAAAAGUAAAAGUACCUAUAAUAUUAUAUUUGCAAAGUAAUUAUAUUAUGUACCUUACCUACCUACAAUAGGGUAGUUUCCAACUACAUAGUCAAAUCCGUUACUUUUACUAUAGGUCAAAACACGAAAUUACUAAGGAUAUGUAUGAAAAAGUGACGUCAAAGAAAAACGUGAUAAUAUGUCGGACUUAUUACGUUUUUUUGAUUAUAAUUCUUAAAUAAGUUAAGUAGAAAAAAAAAUAUGUUUUUCGUUACUUUUAGAUCUGUCUUUACUUAGUGAUCAGAAUUUCAUAAUUUAUCUUGAACCUAGUACUCGACCCAUAGGUUGCUUAGGAAGAUAAUAUUGUAUGAGUGAAAAUAAUGAUGAUUAUGGGGUUUUUAAUAAUAAAAUUUUUAGAAUGUAA